rnacentral:rRNA from 1 species
UUCGCCUUCAUGAAGCCGGAAUUGCUAGUAAUGGCAGGUCAGCAUACUGCCGUGAAUACGUUCCCGGGCCUUGUACACACCGCCCGUCACACCAUGGGAGCCGGUAAUACCCGAAGUCAGUAGUCCAACCUCGUGAGGACGCUGCCGAAGGUAGGAUUGGCGACUGGGGUGAAGUCGUAACAAGGUAAC